UUCUUAAGCUCUCCUGGCCUGCAUGGGUAUUGGGAUUCCAAUCGGGCUGCAUAUUUACUGGAAACUGCUGUUUAUGCCAAGUGUCUGGAUUUUGGGUGUCUCCCAGCAUUCUAGGGGCAUUAAUCUUUUUAAUCUCCCUAGGAUUCUUUGCAUUUCUUCAGUAGUUAACAAUGCACUGCAGAGUCCUUUACAGUCCUCCCAAUUAGGAAAAUGGGGAGCAAAGAUAGAAUCAAAUAAUUACAACAUUUUGGAUGGGUCUUCAGUAAAAGAAAGAGUACUUCUUUUCCAAUUCGUCAAAUCAGAAGAGCUGAAGGGUUGAUGGAAGUAAAUAAUGCCUCCUUCUGAUGGGCAUCCUCUCAAUGGCAUUCGGAAGGUUGCUGCUGGGUCAGCUGAUCUGGUUCUAUGAGCUAUUAGGGUGGACGGCACUGCCCCAGGAAACUGAGAAGGGCCAUUCCCUGCCUUUGGUGGUGGUGAGGUGCUAGCUUCAGAUGACCUCCCUCUAUAGGGAGGUGGAGAGUCUCACAUAUCUUCCUGAUCCAAUUUCUCUCCUUCUGUUUUUAACACAAAACAAGUUGACAUGUUCCCUAAAACAUAGAUCUGGAGCCAGGGUGGUGGUCUCCUGCAUAGGUCUAGCCAAGUGUCUAUAUACAGACGUUCAUCCACUCGGCUUGCCUGGUUGCUUUAUUCCACACCUGCCUAACUUUGUCUAUGCUUCCUUCUGGUGGCCAUUCAGAUAACAAUUGAGGCCAUGACAAUUCAUAGAAUUUCUUUAGUUUUUGGUCAUAACUUCACCCCAUAAUCUCCCACAAAUCCUUUAUCAAAAUUUUGAAUCAUGCAAUCUAAUACAGUUGGUUUAGUGUUUGUGUUUCCCAUGAUCAAAGACAAUUAUUACAACCUUUGAACAGUAACACAAGACAAACAAAGGUGGGGGAUCACUCGCUUGCCUGCCUGGCUGCGGGCCUCUCUGCCACUUUAAGGUCCAUUCACACUAAGGUUGGCUGUCACUUAAGCCCACUGUUGUGCUUUUGUUAAACAUGACCACAGAAUUGUGGGACAGACCCCACACAAUCUCCACGAUGCAGGGAGGGCUUCAGAGAUGAAUACAUUUCAGUGUGGUCUUAAUGAAUAGUUUCAAUGACGUGAAAACCCCCACCUAACUUGUCUAUUGAGGGAUAAGAAGGUGGCAGUGGGAGACAAUUUACAAGGUAUGAGAAGGAGGCCAGUUCACUAUUAGGUUACCAAGAUGAGGCUAUUAAAAUCUUCUUUCUUUUUUGCCCGUCACCAAAAUACCUGUCUCCUCAGAUUGGUGAGAUCUUGAAAUCACUCAGUCAGGUUAUUCCAUAUUAGGCAUUGGUAGAGGGGCUUGUGCAUUCCUUGGGAAGCAUAUAAACCUGGCCUUAGCCAACUAUGACCCUUUGAUGAAAUUUGGUCCACUACCUUUUUUUUUUUUUUUUUACCAGGGAUUGAACUCAGGUCCUUGCGCUUGUGCAGCAGGUGGCAAAACCACUGAGUUAAAUCUCCAGCCCCUUCACUACUUUUUAAAGAAAAACUAUCUUAGUGUACCACAGCCAAGCUUAUUCAUUUACACAUUGUCUAUUUCUGUUUUCAAAUUACAAAAAGAAAGUUGAGCAGUUGCAACAAAGAGAAAGAUCUUUUAGCCCAUGAAAUCUAAAAUGUUUACUUUCUUUACAGAAAAUGUGCGCUUCUCCUUCUCUUAGAGGAACUGUUAAUCGAUGGUUCAUGAUUAGAGAAGAGUGCCAUCACCUACGUCUUUCCUGUACAGGUUUCUUCUUUUUUUUUUUUCUUUUUUGGUACCAGGGAUCGAACUCGGGACCUUGCACUUGCGAGACAGGUGGCAGAACCACUGAUCUAAAUCCCCACCCCUGAAUUUUUUUUUUUUUUUGGUACUGGGGAUCAAACUUGGGACCUUGGACUUGGCAAGGCAGGCAGCGGAACCACUGAGCUAAAUCUCUG
ensembl:lncRNA